UACGUAGGGUGCAAGCGUUAUUCGGAUUUACUGGGCGUAAAGCGUGCGCAGGCGGCUUCGUAAGUCUGUCGUGAAAUCCCCGGGCUUAACCUGGGAAUGGCGAUGGAGACUGCGAGGCUAGAGUUUGGCAGAGGGGGGUAGAAUUCCACGUGUAGCAGUGAAAUGCGUAGAGAUGUGGAGGAACACCGAUGGCGAAGGCAGCCCCCUGGGUCAAAACUGACGCUCAUGCACGAAAGCGUGGGGAGCAAACAGG
rnacentral:rRNA from 1 species